rnacentral:rRNA from 1 species
UACGGGGGGGGCAAGCGUUGUUCGGAAUUACUGGGCGUAAAGGGCUCGUAGGCGGCCGACUAAGUCAGACGUGAAAUCCCCAGGCUCAACCUGGGAACUGCGUCUGAUACUGGUUGGCUUGAAUUCGGGAGAGGGAUGCAGAAUUCCAGGUGUAGCGGUGAAAUGCGUAGAUAUCUGGAGGAAUACCGGUGGCGAAGGCGGCAUCCUGGACCGACAUUGACGCUGAGGAGCGAAAGCUAGGGGAGCAAACGGGAUUAGAAACCCUCGUAGUCC